UACGUAGGGACCAAGCGUUGUUCGGAUUUACUGGGCGUAAAGGGCGCGCAGGCGGCUCAUUUUGUCAGGCGUGAAAGCCCCGGGCUUAACCUGGGAACUGCGUUUGAUACGGAUGGGCUAGAGUUCGGGAGAGGAGAGUGGAAUUCCCAGUGUAGAGGUGAAAUUCGUAGAUAUUGGGAAGAACACCGGUGGCGAAGGCGGCUCUCUGGGCCGGAACUGACGCUGAGGAGCGAAAGCGUGGGGAGCGAACAGG
rnacentral:rRNA from 1 species